rnacentral:rRNA from 1 species
UACAGAGGUCUCGAGCGUUAGGCGGAAUCACUGGGCUUAAAGCGUGUGUAGGUGGAUCGUUAAGUACCUUGUGAAAUCCCACGGCUUAACCGUGGAACUGCUUGGUAUACUGGCGGUCUUGAGCCAGCUAGGGGCUACCGGAACAAAUGGUGGAGCGGUGAAAUGCGUAGAUAUCAGGAGGAACACCGGUGGUGUAGACGGCUCUCUGGACCGUAACUGACGCUGAGACACGAAAGCGUGGGUAGCAAACAGG